rnacentral:piRNA from 1 species
UAGGACUGCAUUGAUGGAAUUUGGCG